CAAGCCUGGGGAGCCCAUCUGUGCUGUGGUCUCAGAGGCAGAGCUGUGGGGGUGUCACCAUGGCCUGGACCCCUCUCCUGCUCCCCCUCCUCACUUUCUGCUCAGGCUCCUGGGCCUCUGAUGAGCUGACACAGCCACCCUCAGUGUCAGUGUCACUGGGAGGGACAGCCAGCAUCACCUGCUCUGGAGAUGUACUUACAAAAAAAUACACUCAGUGGUUCCAGCAGAAGCCAGGCCAGUCCCCUGUGCUGGUGAUGUAUAAGGACAAGGAGCGGCCCUCAGGGAUCCCUGAGUGGUUCUCUGGGUCCAGCUCAGGGACAACGGUCACCUUGACCAUCACUGGGGUUCAAGCCAAGGAUGAGGCUGACUAUUACUGUCAGUCAUGGGACAGCAGUGGUAAUUAUCCCACAGUGACACAGACAGAUGGGGAAGGCAGCUCUGCAGAAUGUGGGGCAGGGGUGGAUUUAGGGCUGGCAGGCCCAGCUGUCCUCUCCCAGGUCAGCCUGGUCCUGCUGGUACUCCAGGUACCAGAGUUUGUGUGGAUGGGCCUCUUUCACCCUCCUCACACAGGCACGGGUUUCCCCAUCACCUCCCUGGAACGGGACAUCUCUGAAGUUCAAGAUUGA